rnacentral:lncRNA from 1 species
GUCUCCACACUGAGCAAGUCCAUGAGAACAUUGUCAGGUCAUCUCAGGCUACACUUUCACCACAAUCCACGCUUGGGCAUGAUCUGUACUGCAGGGAUCCUACUGUCAUUAUCCUGUUAAGGGGUCACUAUUCAAAUUAUUCUUUGAACUCGCACAGUGUUGGAGUCCUGUUCCUCUACAGGUUCUUUUGUGCCUUCCACCAACUAUGCAGUUUAUGUUUUGUGAGUUUGAAUGGUUUGAAUUUGUGAACUAGUCACGGAUUACCAUGGCGACCACACUCUCAUUUUUUAAAAUGCAUCUUGUCUUUAAUCAUGAUAUGAUGAUUUCAGGCUCACCCUCAAAUGUUUUGAUCAUUUUAUUUUCCCUAGUUUCACUAAGGCAUGGCCUCUCUCCCUCCUCACCCUAGCCAGAGGUUUUCCUUCACACAACUUCUCUCCUUGCUUGGGACAUUUGCCAUUUCCUCAUUUUAUCAUCCAGAUCUAUUCACGGUAUUCCCUUCUAUAUUAAUGUAGUCCACGCUCCCUCUGGCCAGGGGCAGGAGGCCAGGCAUGACAUCCCAGGCUCUCAUCUGGACAUAUCAUACACAAGCUGCAUAAUCUUUGUGGAUGAAUGGGAUCAGCCCCACUUACAUGAGCAGAGGGAAAAU